rnacentral:rRNA from 1 species
ACGAACGCUGGCGGCGUGCCUAAUACAUGCAAGUCGAACGGUCUUUUCUAUGGAAGCUUGCUUCCACUGAGAAGAUAGUGGCGAACGGGUGAGUAACACGUGGGUAACCUGCCCAUAAGAGGGGGAUAACAUCCGGAAACGGGUGCUAAUACCGCAUAGUUUUCUUGAUCGCAUGAUUGAGAAAGGAAAGACGGCCUUUGUGCUGUCGCUUAUGGAUGGACCCGCGGCGUAUUAGUUAGUUGGUGAGGUAACGGCUCACCAAGACGAUGAUACGUAGCCGACCUGAGAGGGUGAUCGGCCACAUUGGGACUGAGACACGGCCCAAACUCCUACGGGAGGCAGCAGUGGGAAUCUUCCGCAAUGGACGAAAGUCUGACGGAGCAACGCCGCGUGAGUGAAGAAAGGUUUUCGGAUCGUAAAACUCUGUUGUCAGAGAAGAACAAGUUGGAGAGUAACUGCUCCAGCCUUGACGGUAUCUGACCAGAAAGCCACGGCUAACUACGUGCCAGCCGCUGC